UACGUAGGUGGCAAGCGUUGUCCGGAUUUACUGGGCGUAAAGCGUGCGCAGGCGGUUCGCCAAGUCAGGUGUGAAAUCCCCGGGCUUAACCUGGGAAUUGCGCUUGAAACUAGCGGGCUUGAGUGUGGCAGAGGGGGGUGGAAUUCCACGUGUAGCAGUGAAAUGCGUAGAGAUGUGGAGGAGCACCGAUGGCGAAGGCAGCCCCCUGGGUCAACACUGACGCUCAUGCACGAAAGCGUGGGGAGCAAACAGG
rnacentral:rRNA from 1 species